GAAAUAGUGAACGGAGUCGAAUUGAAACCACACUUUUGAUUGAAAUGAAUGGUGCUUCUUCGGCCGGUGGUAUAAGAGGUGCUUUAUCCUAUUGUGUGCAGCAAGUACGGCGUUAUGAUUAUCAUCACUACCUCUGCCUUCUUGAACUUCCAGCAAACAUGCGGAAGGCUGCAUUUGCACUCCGAGCUUUCAAUGUCGAGACAUCCCGAGCUAUGGAUGUUGCAUCUGAUCCCAAAAUUGGUCUUAUGCGCUUGCUGUGGUGGCAAGAAGCUUUGGACAAGAUCUAUUCAAACAAGGUGAUUGAGCAUCCAGUAGCUCAGGCCCUCACUUCUGUGGUAU
rnacentral:misc_RNA from 1 species